GGCUUAGAGUUUGAUCCUGGCUCAGAUUGAACGCUGGCGGCAUGCUUUACACAUGCAAGUCAAACGGCAGCGCGGGGCAGCCUGGCGGCGAGUGGCGAACGGGUGAGUAAUAUAUCGGAACGUACCCAAGAGUGGGGGAUAACGUAGCGAAAGUUACGCUAAUACCGCAUACGAUCUAAGGAUGAAAGCAGGGGAUCUUCGGACCUUGUGCUCCUGGAGCGGCCGAUAUCUGAUUAGCUAGUUGGUGAGGCAAAGGCUCACCAAGGCGACGAUCAGUAGCUGGUCUGAGAGGACGACCAGCCACACUGGAACUGAGACACGGUCCAGACUCCUACGGGAGGCAGCAGUGGGGAAUUUUGGACAAUGGGCGAAAGCCUGAUCCAGCAAUGCCGCGUGAGUGAAG
rnacentral:rRNA from 1 species